AUGCCGGAUACCUGCGACAGGACGGAAAGACCCCAUGGAGCUUUACUGUAGCUUGACAUUGGGUCUUGGUACUACAUGUACAGGAUAGGUGGGAGGCUUUGAAACCAGGACGCCAGUUUUGGCGGAGUCAUCCUUGGGAUACCACCCUUGUAGUACUGGGACUCUAACCAUAGGCCAUGAAUCUGGUCUUGGGACACUGUCAGGUGGGCAGUUUGACUGGGGCGGUCGCCUCCCAA
rnacentral:rRNA from 1 species